rnacentral:rRNA from 1 species
GACGAACGCUGGCGGCGUGCCUAAUACAUGCAAGUCGAGCGGACAGAUGGGAGCUUGCUCCCUGAUGUUAGCGGCGGACGGGUGAGUAACACGUGGGUAACCUGCCUGUAAGACUGGGAUAACUCCGGGAAACCGGGGCUAAUACCGGAUGCUUGAUUGAACCGCAUGGUUCAAUUAUAAAAGGUGGCUUUUA